rnacentral:lncRNA from 1 species
GUUGAUCUUCCAUGGUGUGAAGACUUCGUUCUUUCGCUCUUUGCAAUGACUCUUGGUGCUACUCACUCUGGGUUCACGCUGCCUUUAUGAGUUGUGAGACUCACCGCGAAGGUCUGUAGCUUCACAGCUGAAGCCAUCGAGACCACGAACCCACCAGGAGGAACGAACAACUCCAGAAGCACCGCCUUAAAAGCUGUAACACCCACCGCGAAGAUCUGCAGGUUCACUCCUGAGCUGCCGAGACCACGAACCCACCGGAAGAAAGAAACUUCGAACACAUCCGAACAUGAGAAAUAACAAACUCCAGAUACGCGUCUUUUAAGAACUGUAGCAAUCACCGUGAGGGUCCGCGGCUUCAUUCUUGAAGUGAGACCAAGAACCCACCAAUUCCGGACGCAACUGCCCUCCAGCCUGGGCGACAGAGCGAGACUCCGUCUCAAAAAAAAAAAAAAAAAAAAAAAAAAAAAACAGAAACAAUCCCACCCAGCUUUAGCAAGUCGGAGGAGAUGGAGUUUUGCUUUUGUUGCCCAGGCUGGAGUGCAACGGCGUGAUCUUUGCUCACUGCAACCUCUGCCUCCCAGGAACAAGCGAUUCUCCUGCGUCAGCC